rnacentral:lncRNA from 1 species
UAGGGUUCCCUAUGUACCCGGUCCAUCCACCAUCUUUCAAGAUAUCCAGUAAGGCUACCAUUCAUUAAUUCACAUGACCAGUCAAUUGUUCAUUUGUAUAUUAAUUACCAAUUUCACAAAUCAACUGUAAAUCACGCAAGACAAGCAAUAUAUAUAUCAAGGAAGCAUAAUUGAAUCAAUUAAUCAUUCUAGUAUAUCAUCAUGUAUUUAAAGCU